UCUAUCUCACUGUCUAAACCCUUUGUCUGUUCAAACCUCCCCAAAGAGCCAUGAGUUGUCAUUCCACAGUCUUAGAUUUCUCAAUAUAUCUACCAAACCCUCUCUUCUCUUCCCUAAUCACUUCUCCUUCCAUGGAGAAAUCUCUAAAAUUUUGUACCAAAUUGCCCACUAAAAUCAACAUCAUACAUCUCACCAAAAAAUGGAGGAACUAGAAGAAGAAUAAAUCACAGAUUCAAAUCUCAAAAGUCCUACUCAAGCUUCUACUGCUGAAAUUGAACAAAGUGUGGUAAAAGUAGCUGAAGGGUAUACAAUUACUCAAUUUUGUGAUAAGAUUAUUGAUCUGUUUCUGAAGCCACAGACUAAAAUUGGAGGAAGUUAUUGGUGUUUGGGGAGGAAUGGAGAAAGUAUAGUGAGAAAUUUUAUAAGCAAUGUAAAGCAGGAGCGGACGCUGAGGACGAUAAUGGUACAAAACAGAAGUUGGUGGUGUUAGGGAGGAAAGUGAAGAAGAUUGAUGAUGAGAUAGAAAGACAUGUGAGCUACUCAUGGAAAUAGAGCAAAGUCCAACUGAUAUCAAUGCAGUUGUGGCUAAGCGGCGUAAGGAUUUCAAUGAGGAGUUUUUCCGCCAUCUUAGUCUACUGUCGGAGACUUAUGAUAGCUUGGAUGACCGUGACGAAAUAUCCAGGCUUGGAACUAGAUGCCUCUCUGCAAUCCGUGCUUAUGGUAAUAACACAGUUGAAAUGCGGAAGCGCUAGAUCCUGCUCAAGCUAUAUUUGACGAUAUACUCUAUCACUAGAUGCGGCAUGUGAGAAGAUCAAAAGUUUAGGAAAGGCAAAAGAGAGCUUGAUUCCUCGUUGAUAUUGUUCAUAAACAGUGCUUGGGGAGCAGCAAAAGAAUUGCCAACCAUGAAGAAUGAGGUAUAUCUGACAAAACUGAUAGUUGCUGGUGCAAGUGCUUUUUCACUUUGAUGAUUAUGCCCGCAUUCGCCUGGUAAACUACAUUAAAUACAGCCGAA